rnacentral:rRNA from 1 species
GACGAACGCUGGCGGCGUGCUUAACACAUGCAAGUCGAACGGUAAGGCCCUUCGGGGUACACGAGUGGCGAACGGGUGAGUAACACGUGGGUGAUCUGCCCUGCACUUCGGGAUAAGCCUGGGAAACUGGGUCUAAUACCGGAUAGGACCACUGCCUGCAUGGGUGGUGGUGGAAAGCUUUUGCGGUGUAGGAUGGGCCCGGGGCCUAUCAGCUUGUUGGUGGGGUGAUGGCCGACCAAGGCGACGACGGGUAGCCGGCCUGAGAGGGUGACCGGCCACGCUGGGACUGAGAUACGGCGCAGACUCCUACGGGAGGCAGCAGUGGGGAAUAUUGCACAAGGGGCGCAAGCCUGAGGCAGCGACGCCGCGUGAGGGAUGACGGCCUUCGGGUUGUAAACCUCUUUCAGCACCGACGAAGCGCAAGUGACGGUAGGUGCAGAAGAAGGACCGGCCAACUACGUGCCAGCAGCCGCCGUAA